rnacentral:rRNA from 1 species
ACAUGCAAGUCGAACGAGAAAGUGGAGCAAUCCAUGAGUACAGUGGCGUACGGGUGAGUAACACGUGGGUGAUCUACCUCUUAGUGAGGAAUAACCCUGGGAAACCGGGGCUAAUACCGCAUAAGCCUGAGAAGGGAAAGCAGCAAUGCGCUGAGAGAGGAGCCCGCGGCCGAUUAGCUAGUUGGUGAGGUAAAAGCCCACCAAGGCAGAGAUCGGUAGCCGGCCUGAGAGGGCACACGGCCACACUGGCACUGAAACACGGGCCAGACUCCUACGGGAGGCAGCAGUGGGGAAUCUUGCACAAUGGGGGAAACCCUGAUGCAGCGACGCCGCGUGAGCGAUGAAGCCCUUCGGGGUGUAAAGCUCUUUCGUCAGGGAAGAUCAUGACGGUACCUGGAGAAGCAGCUGCGGCUAACUACGUGCCAGCAGCCGCGGUAAUACGUAGGCAGCAAGCGUUGUUCGGAGUUACUGGGCGUAAAGGGUGUGUAGGCGGUUCUUUAAGUUUGGUGUGAAAUCUCCCGGCUCAACCGGGAGGGUGCGCCGAAUACUGAGGGACUAGAGUGUGGGAGAGGAAAGUGGAAUUCCUGGUGUAGCGGUGAAAUGCGUAGAUAUCAGGAGGAACAC